ACCUUAAAGCUAGCCUACUCACCAAUUUAACUAGACCUUAUUAAUCUAAUUUACACUAAAUCCUCUACUUAAAACAUUUUAACCUUUUAGUAUGGGCGAC
rnacentral:rRNA from 1 species